rnacentral:rRNA from 1 species
GACGAACGCUGGCGGCGUGCUUAACACAUGCAAGUCGAACGGAAAGGCCACUUUGGGGGUCCUCGCGUUGCGCACGGGUCGGUGACAGGUGAAGAACCUCCCCUUGAAUUCGGGAUUUAUUCAGGGAACAGGUGCCAAUACCGGGACGGAAUCCUUGCUGCAUUGUGUGGGUUGGAAAGCUUCGGAGGUUAUGGAUGGACUCGCUGCUUAGCAGCUUGUUGGUGGGGUAGUGGGUUACCAAGGCGUUGACGGGUAGCCGGCCUGAGAGGGCGAACGGCCACAUUGGGACUGAGAUACGGCCCAGACGCCUUCGGGAGGCAGCAGUGGGGAAUAUUGCACAAAGGGCGGAAGGCUGAGGCAACAACGCCGCGUGCGGGAGGAGGGACCUAGGGUUGUAAGCCGAUUUCAGCAGGGGCGAAGCUUGUGGUGACGGUACCUGCAGAAGAAGCACCGGCUAACUACGUG